GUCCUCAGUGUGCACCAUCUUCUAUCCACUGAACAGCCCUCAGUGUGCACCAUCUUCUAUCCACUGAACAGUCCUCAGUGUGCACCAUCUUCUAUCCACUGAACAGUCCUCAGUGUGCACCAUCUUCUAUCCACUGAACAGUCCUCAGUGUGCACCAUCUUCUAUCCACUGAACAGUCCUCAGUGUGCACCAUCUUCUAUCCACUAUCCAAUUUGACAGGUGGGCUCACAUAUUGCACCAUGUACAUCGCUACAUACAUACUGUUUACUAUAGCUAGAAUUGCAGCAUGUCCACCAACUCAUGGACAUUGUAAAAGGAGAUGGUUUGAGAGACAUCUCAUUUCAAGUAUUGUGAGUAAUACGUUUAUUUUUCCUGCUGGGAAAUGUAUAUGUCAAAAUGUAAUCAAGUUGUUUUGAAAUGCAUUUUCAGUUGGCAACUUUAUUGCAGUAUAUUGAAAUCAUGGUCUUGUCACACAUUGAAAUGAUAAAUGCACCACAUGGCUGGUCUGUGACAUUUCAUCAAACAGAAGAUGUCACCCUGUGUGUCUCCCCAGUUCUCCUAUUCUAGGCUCUCCUCUCCCUGUGAUGGUCUGUAACACCGUUAAGGUCUGUUCACUUGAUAUGCGCCACAACUGUAUUGCAUCGAGCCAACAAUGGCCACGGUAGGCUCUUUCAUGUUACUCUGAUCUUGCGCUGCACCCGACCAAGCAGCUCUCUGCACCUUGUGCCAAUCAAGUGAACAGGCCUUAGAAACUCCUGACUAGCAGCUGAGGUCUUUUCUUAGGGGUAAAGAAGAUCUCCACUACAUGUGUGGUGAGAUGUAUUAUUUCCGUUUCCUCUUUUGAGAUUCAAUAUACUCAUCUGAGCCUGGUCCCCCACUGCACAGAUGUAGGAUCUUAAUUUGAACCAGUUUGCUACAGCAGGAAAAUCGUCCUGCAGGAACUGGAAAUGUGAAUUAUUAUUAAUGGACAUUUUUGUAAGGAGUCAUUUGAUACAUUUUUAAGUGGAAAUCACAAACUUCAGAAUCCCUUUUAAACAUCAAAUACACUACACAAUUUACAUUUCCUGCAAUGUAAAUUGUGUAGUGUAUUUGAUAUUUAAAGGAAAGUUCUCCUGCAACAUCGUGAUAAAAUGAAGAUCUUACAUCUAUGUGUUGUAGCGAGCUCUUCUAUUGUUGUCAAGCCAUACAUGUUGUCACGACAAUGAACGCAAACACAGGAGUUGGCUAAAGCACAAACGGACUGGAGCACCAGGCUACUAUCCCUGUAGCCCCGAGUCACUUCCCCUAGCCCCUAGUCACUUCCCCUAGCCCCUAGUCACUUCCCCUAGCCCCUAGUCACUUCCCCUAGCCCCUGAAGGACCUGCAUAGGAGGGAGCAGUACUCUGCUGACUGUAAAAAUAAUCCACGUUUGAUUUGAUCAUGACUUGUGCACUGAUUUUUUUUUUGCCAAAUUCCUUAAACCUCAACUACCACUUUAAUAUAAGUAAUCAUAUAGAAACCAUAUGAGGAGAGAUCUAUAUUUAACUUUGAAUGACUCCUAGUGAGGUGAUAUUUUUAAUGCAGAGCCAUCAGAUUUAUUAACAGUUUUAACUUGUAUCAUAGCAACUGUAUAUUUUUGUAAAAGAUCACCUCAAACAUUACUGUAUUAAGCAAUCUUUUUUUCACUGAACAAAAGAGGUCAGGUAUUUUUGGAUGGUUCUCUGUGGUUCCAUUGCGUUAGACAGUUUUUGUUGCAGGGCCUGUUCUGUGUGUGUGUGUGUGUGUGUGUGUGUAAAUGAGAUUCUGUAUUUGACUAUUGGGGUUGGUACAGUUGUAUCGUGAUGUACUGUAGAGAUGAUUUCUGUCACGUAACACAACUUCAUGUCAGUCAAAGAAUGAACAACACUGCUGCUGCAUAGAAGCAACAUUAACACUAAUCUGUCAUUGUUUCAGUGGACAUUUACAGAUGUGUGUCAAUCUAAACAAUGAAACUAUAUCUGAUUAUGUGUAAUACCUCUGGUUUGUGUCUCCGGCCUACAGUAGUGGUUAGUGUUGUCUGUUGUAAAGUGUUUGCAACUUUCAUCUGCAAUUCAGGAUGCUAAACUACACUGAAGUGCUGUAUCUGUUUUGGUUUGGAAAGAGUGAUUCAUUUUGAGUUAACUUUUUGAAGGAGAUGGAAAGUGAGUAAAUGAAAUAGCAUAAUGAAGAAUUCCCUGUUUAGCUGCUAUGCACUUCUAAACUCUUCAUGAAGGCUUUACGAAUGAAAAAUGCACUUAAAUGCUUUUGGAGAUCUCAGUGAUUUCAGCCUUUUAACUUAAAAGAUUCAGCUGAGAAAACGCACUCUGCUUUAAUUUCUAUGCUAUUUGCUGUGUGGGGUAAUCGGCUCAAUGGCUCUAUGGUUUCUACAAAUGCAGCUUUAUUUCUCUAAAUGAUGUUCUGAAUAAAAUGUCCUGUGAAAUUAUAUUUCUCCCACUGUGUGGAUUUGACUUACAUGGCAUGUGAGUACAUGGCUGUCUGAGGAAUGACUGGCCUUUGUUCAUAUAACCAGGCUUUUCCUGUUUUAUAUUUGUGAGCAUCUGGACGGGACACAACGAUUCCACAACAACCAAAAGACAGUAUGGUGGAUUGUACUUGCAGUACAUAGCAACCCUUUACCGGCAGAUAACAAUAUGGUUUACAUUGACAAUACUUAUGUCUAGAUAACAUGGCUCAAAUCAUAUAUUCAUAAAAAUGUCAUCUAAAUUGUGAUUUGAAUUGGUAUGUUGGUGGCAUCGAGCGGUGGGUUAUUGACUGAUUGGGUCUACAGGGGUGCAUCCUCACCCCUUUUUACGUUGACAGUAUUUCCCAUCCCCCAGUAGGUCAGUGACGUGAGCACUAGCAUUUUGUUAAUGGUGUCAUACAGCCCAGUAAUGUCAUUGGGGUAACAACUGCCAGAUGCCUCGUACAACAGUUCAACGAAACAGAAUGUUCUGAUAAAAAUGUGUUGUCUCAUGUACCAUUGUCAUUUAUACAAAACAAAAAUAUAAACGCAACAUGUAAAGUGUUGGUCCCAUUUUCAUGAGCUGAAAUAAAACAACUAAAACCAGAUAAAAAGUAAUGGAUCAAUUAUGUUUUUAAAAUACGAUAGUCUUAGAGAACAAACAAUCAGGGUUCAUCUAAAAUGUAAAAAAUGUCAUGGCAUUGAAUUUGUUCCAAUAUUUGAGUCACUCAGAUACUCUAAGAACAAGGCAAAGCCAUGAGAAAAUGUGUAUUAUUGAAGAAAAUUGGCUUUAAAACUGAACGUGUUCUCAGCCGCAUGGUGCGGCACGUAGCCUAGUGGUUAGAGCGUGGGGACAGUAACCAGCAGGUAGCCUAGUGGUUAGAGCGUGGGGACAGUAACCGGCAGGUAGCCUAGUGGUUAGAGUGUGGGGACAGUAACCGGCAGGUAGCCUAGUGGUUAGAGCGUGGGGACAGUAACCAGCAGGUAGCCUAGUGGUUAGAGCGUGGGGACAGUAACCAGCAGGUAGCCUAGUGGUUAGAGCGUGGGGACAGUAACCGGCAGGUAGCCUAGUGGUUAGAGCGUGGGGACAGUAACCGGCAGGUAGCCUAGUGGUUAGAGCGUGGGGACAGUAACCGGCAGGUAGCCUAGUGGUUAGAGCGUGGGGACAGUAACCGGCAGGUAGCCUAGUGGUUGGAGCGUGGGGACAGUAACCGGCAGGUAGCCUAGUGGUUAGAGCGUGGGGACAGUAACCAGCAGGUAGCCUAGUGGUUAGAGCGUGGGGACAGUAACCAGCAGGUAGCCUAGUGGUUAGAGCGUUGGGCCAGUAACCGGCAGGUAGCCUAGUGGUUAGUGUUCGGUCAGUAACCGGCAGGUAGCCUAGUUGUUAGUGUUGGGCCAGUAACCGGCAGGUAGCCUAGUGGUUAGAGCGUUGGGCCAGUAACCGGCAGGUAGCCUAGUGGUUAGAGCGUUGGGCCAGUAACCGGCAGGUAGCCUAGUGGUUGGAGCGUUGGGCCAGUAACCGGCAGGUAGCCUAGUGGUUAGCGCGUUGGGCCAGUAACCGGCAGGUAGCCUAGUGGUUAGCGCGUUUGGGACAGAUACCAACAGGUAGCCUAGUGGUUAGUGUUCGGUCAGUAACCGAAAGGUUGCUAGAUCGAAUCCCUGAGCUGACAAUGUAAAAAUCUGUUGUUCUGCCCCUCAACAAGGCAGUUAACCCACUGUUCCUGAGCCGUCAUUGUAAAUAAGAAUUUGUUCUUAACUGACUUGCCUAGUUAAAUAAAGGUUACAUUAAAAAUAACCACGACAUCGUCCAAUUUAAUAUCAAUAAAAGCGUUUAUCCCUUGAGAUGCUGUCAGCUGCUGACUCAGCAGUCCAAUGCAUUUAACUGUAUAAGUGUUAACAGCAGGGGAGAUGAGUUAGUUUCCGUCUAGUGCUCUGUAUUGUCCUCGUUGCUCCAUUGAGAGUAGUCAGGUGGGUCGUUCCUCUAUUGCUAUGGAAUUUUGAAAGAAAUGUACUUCAUUUUUCUAGAUGUAUUUGGGUACAUCUUCCAAUUCCAAAUAUGGUAGCAAAAUGACUUAAUUUUAAUAAUGCAUAAACAAAGUUUAGCAGUAUAAAGGACUUGCAUUAUGUUUUAUCAUUGAUAACCAGUUCAAUACUCUGUUCAGCAGGAAAAAAUCAUGUGUUGGAAACAUCCUAAAAAUGUCUUUAGGGACAUCCUGAGCCGGGAACUAGAUAAAAACCUCUAGGAGACUAAGACAGAGCGUUCUAAAAACGUGAAUUAAACUCCUUCAAAAUGGCAUUGUAACUGUUCAGUGAGAUUUGGGCCAACCAUGGAAUAGAUAACCAUCUGAAAUGCUACUGUUGGACCAAUUGGCAGCCACCCGACAUUACCCCAUUGCCCAGUACUGACAGUUGGAACACAAACACACAGGAACACUGCUCCACAUUCAUUCCAUUUCAGAAAAGAGAUGAGAAAAGGAAGAACGGGCUCCGGCUAAAUCUGUUGGUCCUACUACAUCAAGCUCAUGUGACCCUGCGGAUGAUGUCAUAAUUGUUGCCAUUCAGCGUGUGCCAGCUGGGGUAUUCAACAGAUCGCUGCUCAUUCACCAGCCGCUCAAAGCACGGAUUGUACCCCGAGUUUGCCUCAAGACAAUGGCUGAUAAAUUGUGUAAGCACAGUGGCAGAGUAUUUGAUCAGAUCAAUUCGGGCACAAUCUAGACCUAUUCCAAAUACUAAUUAUACAGAUAGAAUAACUGCUCUGUUGUAGAUUAACUGUAUCUUUCCACCAUGUAAGUUUUACAAUGCAAACACUCAUCACUAACUGAUCUCAGUGACAGUAGAAAAAAGGGCCUUAAUGCCUUCAACAUUACAUCCCUUGCCCAAAUUGUGGAAAUUCCCCCCACCCUCCUAAAGACAGUCACUGGUGUGCUGCCAAGGCUGGCCAAUCUGCACAUUGUCCCCCUGUCCAGACCUCCUUUCAUAUGCAGAGGGAGAUUAUUCAGGGUUCAGUCUCCCCUUCAUCACCACAGCAUGACAUCAUCCCUAAAUUCACCAUGACAUAAUCCCCAAAUUCACCAUGACAUCAUCCUGAAUUCACCAUGACAUCAUCCCCAAAUUCACAGCCAUGUUGGGAUACAGACGUGGGGUCCUCAGCCAGUGCUAUUAUACACAAGGCUAUGACUGUGUCCCAAUU